UACGAAGGGGGCUAGCGUUGCUCGGAAUCACUGGGCGUAAAGGGUGCGUAGGCGGGUCUUUAAGUCAGGGGUGAAUCUGGAGCUCAACUCCAGAACUGCCUUCGAUACUGAGAGUCUUGAGUCCGGGAGAGGUGAGUGGAACUGCGAGUGUAGAGGUGAAAUUCGUAGAUAUUCGCAAGAACACCAGUGGCGAAGGCGGCUCACUGGCCCGGUACUGACGCUGAGGUGCGAAAGCGUGGGGAGCAAACAGG
rnacentral:rRNA from 1 species